rnacentral:rRNA from 1 species
UACGGGGGGGGCAAGCGUUGUUCGGAAUUACUGGGCGUAAAGGGCUCGUAGGCGGCCAACUAAGUCAGACGUGAAAUCCCCAGGCUUAACCUGGGAACUGCGUCUGAUACUGGAUGGCUUGAGAUUGGGAGAGGGAUGCGGAAUUCCAGGUGUAGCGGUGAAAUGCGUAGAUAUCUGGAGGAACACCGGUGGCGAAGGCGACAUCCUGGACCAACACUGACGCUGAGGAGCGAAAGCGUGGGGAGCGAACAGG